ACAGUGGUUGUUCACUGGUAGAAUGCUCAUCUACUAUGCAGGAGACCCAGGUUUGAUUCCUGGCCAGUGCU
rnacentral:tRNA from 1 species